rnacentral:rRNA from 1 species
AUACGAAGGGUGCUAGCGUUGUUCGGAAUCACUGGGCGUAAAGAGCAUGUAGGCGGAUUGAUUAGUCAGAGGUGAAAGCCCCGAGCUCAACUUGGGAAUUGCCUUUGAUACUGUCAAACUAGAGACCGAGAGAGGUGAGUGGAAUUCCCAGUGUAGAGGUGAAAUUCGUAGAUAUUGGGAAGAACACCAGUGGCGAAGGCGGCUCACUGGCUCGGUACUGACGCUGAGAUGCGAAAGCGUGGGGAGCAAACAGGAUUAGAUACCCUAGUAGUCCC